rnacentral:misc_RNA from 1 species
CCUUUUUUUUUUUUUUUUGUUCCUUUAGCAUAAUUCAAUCUGACUGUCACCAACUACUCUCUCAAUUUUGAACUUUUAUUAGCGAUGAUUAACUAUUAUCGAUUUCUUAAUAUUGCAAGACUAAGAACCACCGGCAAUUAAAGAAAGACCUUAGAAAGAAACACAUAGCUCUUGCCAGGAGUCCUCUCGGAUGAUUAAGUCAUUAAUUAGGAGCCUGAUUAAAUAUAAUUUACAGGGAGACUUGAGUAGGUUUUCAUUCCAGAAUAAGGCCUUUUUAUGGUGCAAGAGUUGUAUUAUAAAUAGAUAACAUAAUCUGUAUUGCAUCUCACCAUAAAGUGAGCUUAGUUAAUUGUAGUUCGAUUUUCAUAUGCUAUUAAUUUGUAAUUUCAAAUUGGUUGAAAUUUGAACUUUGCCUAUUGGAAUAUGUCCAAUUUGGUUGUAAUCUCUAUAUUUUUGAGAUAUCCAUAAAGAUAAUGACAAUUUUUUUUCCUUCAUUUUUUCAAUGUCAAAUCCAUGAAAGAAUUCUGUUUUUGCAGUUUAUGGAUUUGGAUAUUGUCUGUUUUUUCUUUUUAUAUAUGUUCUUCGAUGCACAUAGUAAGAGCACAAAGAUAAUCAUUAUUAGCUAAGGAAUCCUUUCUUUGACUAAAGGCAAGCUCAUCAGUAGGUUCAAUUGGUUCGAAGUUGACAGAUCAUUUUGUGGGGAUGGGAUUUCCUGGAAAAAUGGUUGUCAAAGCAAUUCAAGAAAAUGGUAAAGGUUCUUUCUUAUUCUGAUUUGAAUUAUCUAAACACAUGCGUGCAAGGCACAAGUUGAAAUCUUCAUUUGUAACACUGCUGUGCUGAAAUAAUUCUUCAGGAAAGGAAAAUACCGAUUUGAUACUUAAAACUUUUCUUAAUUGCUCGGUGUGAUUCAUAAUUUAUUUUUCCUGGAAAUCAAUUUCAAAUUGUUAAUUUUCUCGAGUUAGAAGCUUAUUGGAGUACUUUUCUCCAAUUGUUAGUUUUCUGCUGCUUUCAAAGGAUUGGUAUAAUGUCUGUGAAUCAUAUAAAUCCAAUGAUGUUCAGUGGGCA